GGAGUCUUAGUAUAGAGGUUAUUGCAAGUGGUUUUUGCUCACUUAAACGACGGUUCGAGUCCGUCAGAUUCUA
rnacentral:tRNA from 5 species